GGCCGAUUGAGAGACUGAGAACGAGAGAGAGAGUAAGAGAAAGAGAGCUGACACUGGGAGGGAGAUCCAAGCAGGGAAGCUUUCGGGGAGGAGAUAGAUUACGUGCAAGUCGGCUUUCGAACCAAGGAUUUAAUUGGUGUCCUAGCUCACCAAGAAGAAACCAAGAGCAAGGUACCCGCACAGGAGAGCAGGCGGAAGGGCUCAGUUCAUCCAAAGGAAAAGAGAAGCUGGUGGAAGCUUAGCUAAGGUGGAAGGGAAGAAGAGCUUAGUGUUUAGUUGGUUAAUUAAUCUGGAAUAUUUUU